GUUAUAAUUUGGUAGCGUGGUUAUUUAUUUUAAAAGGAAGGGUUUGUUGUCAGAAGUUGUUUUUACGUCGCAGCUAGAAGAAGAGGAACUCCCCGGUGAGCUUUUGUGGAGAUUUGUUGUGGUGAAGAUAGUUUUUCGAAUAGCGGGUUGUGAUGUAAAUUUGUGAUGUAUUAUUUUCUAUGAAAAAUUCGAUAUUGCAAAUUAUACCCUUAUAAAUGGCGCCCAACGUGGGGCAGUUUUUUCUUCUUUGACCGGACCAUGAAUGACCUUUUUGAUAUAAGUUGACCGUGCUAAGACCAAGCCCAAGCCCAGUUAGACCAAAAAAUGACCCUUAGACAGCAUGAUCGACCGUUGUAGUGAUUGUAGUGUGUUAAAGAGAAGAUAGUUUGGCAGCUGACUGCCGUUUUCCACCGCGCGAUAAGUUUUUAGUGCAAUUAGUUUUUACAAAAGAAAUAAUAUUUUUGAGAAAUUGAAUUCACGAGAUUUGUACUGUUUUUAAAAUGACCGUGUGUCAAGCUACCAGAUAGACAGAUGGCGUGUCAAGUGAGAUUAGUUGGUAUGUGAGAAUUGUGGGGGUGAGUAAUAAUUAGUCUGAUAAUUAUUAUGAGACUCUUGAUGAUAUAGUUGUUGAAGUGGAUUAAAAUUAUUUUCCCUGAUUUUUGUGUUCCGGGAGAAUUAAUUAAUUUGAUAAUUUGUGUAGUUUUGUAAAAGAUAAGUUCAAGUUUUAUGAGAGGAUUGUUCUAGGCCUGAUUUUUGAAGAGAAGACAGUUUUUGAAAAGCGAAUGUGUUUAGGGAUUUUUAGUUAGUGAAGUCUGUUCUUUGAUUGUGGUAGCAAUUCUUUAAAUGAGAAUUUGUCCUUCCUGAUUUGAGACCGAUCUAUUGUUCCCUUGGAGCAAAGACCUACCCGCUCUUUCGAUCAGCGACUGUAGUACAGCAUUUGACCACCCCUCCCCCCUAUCACCCCCAGGCAAAUACUUGUAUUUUACGUUUUUUUUAGUUACGUUAAAUUGAGCUUCAGGAAAUUUGCUAAAAACUGAUGCGAACCUUUUGUUAAUAUAAAAAAAGAGAAAAAAAAGAUGGAAACAGAACUGUAAUUCUAGUAAGAGAAAGAAAAAACAUUGUUCUUUUUUUUUAACUUAUGCUUGUACAGUAGAACGUACGAAUGCCUUCCCCCUGAAGUUGCUGCAGAAAAAUGAUAAUUUAUUGUCAAACUUGAGUUUCUAUAUCCCAUGCCUAAAAAAUUGACGUGUGUUUUGAUGUCAUCGUUGGUCAUCGUUGUAAACAUUAAACAGUUUAAUGUUUACCAUUACAUUAAAGUUAAAAAUACAUUAAAAUUUUUAAAAAAUGGUAAUGAAUGGUGAAAAAAAGUUAGUGAUUAAAGUGAGGUGACAAAUAUUUUUAUAUUGCAUCAGUAUAAAAGUUUCAUGAAGCGGCCGAAUUAAUUGAUCAUAGGAAAAUUGUAUAAAGAAAACAAUGUAGGGACAAUUUUCAUCAUUGCAUCAACAAUUUUCCAAAAAUGAAGCACUACCUAUUCGUGGCACGCGAGGUUGUCAAAUGCGAAAAAUGCGUUGUCCUUGGUUUUCAAUCCUGGGCGAAGCACGUACCCUAGAACAAUUGGAACGAAAUGAUGGCGAAUUGUCUCUUCUGCAAAAGGAGAAUGCCAUCAUUGAUGGGAGAAACAUUUCCCCGCACCAAAACGGAACCGAAUGUGUUAUAUAACUGGUGAUUUGCACCAGACUCAGAGUGUAGCUGAAAUUGAGUUGAUCUGGCGGUGGUUCGAGCCCUUCAUUGAAGAACGGAAUUUCAGAGAAGAAUCGAAAUGGAAUUGGAAUUUAAAUUAACAUGCCGCAAAAGUGAAAAGAACAAUAAAUUCGCCAUUAGUGACUCUGACGUAGGACUCUCAAGACGAGUCACUUUUGAAAUUUGCAAGAUUUUUUAAUAAAAAAUAAAUUUUUGGGACCAAGAAAAUGAUUUUUAAAUGUCAUUUUUAUCAAUUUUUCGCAUAUAAAUCUAAGUGCCCCUGGAGACGAAAGUUCAAAUGAGUUCUUUGGCUUGCUGAUUAUUUGCCUGCUCGAUUUUAUCUCUCAAGACGAAUCACUUUUGAUAUUUGCAAGAGUUUUUAAUGAAAAAUAAAUUUGUGGGAC